CCUUUCUUCAUUAUCAUACUCACGAUAGAACCCCAAAAAACCCAACCCCAACUCCAUUCUUCUGCAUCUCUACUACCUUUCUUCUCAGUGACGGAGACCUACGGCAACGUCAAGUCUAAACAUUUCGAAGGCAGCGAACCACACUCAUUUUCUCCUCGAAGGCAAUCAAGGUCAAGAGAGAUUUGUGGCUAUGGGCUGAAGCUUUGAGAAAAAAAGAAUGAAAAAUGAAAUGUGAGAUUUUAAACUUUGAUAAUGUGUAUGGUCUUUUUGUUUAUGCCUACAUUUUCCAAGUGAAUUUGAGAACUUUUGAUUUUUCUAUUGAAUUGUAUUGUAAUUGCAUAAUAGUCAUAGCAUAAACAAACUAUAUAUAUAAACUUGAACACAAGUACUUGUUAUCUAACUCAUUACUAAAUUGUUGUAAUUUGGUUACUCUUGAUUUAUUAAUGAUUGAAGAUGAAAAAGAGUUAUAAAUGUU